GAUGAACGCUGGCGGCGUGCCUAAUACAUGCAAGUCGAGCGAACAGACGAGGAGCUUUCUCCUCUGACGUUAGCGGCGGACGGGUGAGUAACACGUGGAUCACCUUCUUCUUAGACUGGGAUAACUUCGGGAAACCGGAGCUACUACCGGAUAAUAUAUUGAACCGCAUGGUUCAAUAGUGAAAGAUGGUUUUGCUGUAACUUAUAGAUGGAUCCGCGCCGCAUUAGCUAGUUGGUAAGGUAACGGCUUACCAAGGCUACGAUGCGUAGCCGACCUGAGAGGGUGAUCAGCCACACUGGAACUGAGACACGGUCCAGACUCCUACGGGAGGCAGCAGUAGGGAAUCUUCCACAAUGGGCGAAAGCCUGACGGAGCAACGCCGCGUGAGUGAUGAAGGUCUUCGGAUCGUAAAACUCUGUUAUUAGGGAAGAACAAAUGUGUAAGUAACUAUGCACGUCUUGACGGUACCUAAACAGAAAGCCACGGCUAACUACGUG
rnacentral:rRNA from 1 species